GUUAAAGCAAAUUUUAAGUUUUUAAUUAAAGCAUUUUAAUGCAAUUGCUUGUAAUGAUUAGUUAAAUGAUAUUCACUUUUGCUUAAUUGAAUGCUUAUUUACCAAAAGUGGUGGAGGUUCUCUUUAGUCAACAGAGGAUAAGGAUGAUGAUGUCAGAAAUAUUUAGUUUUGUCACGUAUUUGUAAAAUACGACAGCGGGAACAAUUUCUGCAUUUAACAUAAAAAAAUGGAUUUUGAAAAAGUAGCACACAACCUGAACUAUAUAAUGCAUUUCAUCAGAGUCCUAAAUUUAAGCUGUUGCUAACAACAGCAGAGCCGCCCUAAAAGUUUCCUAGUGCAGCGCAUAUUAUGGACAUUUCUUGAAGAUCUUAAAGUGGCUUGGUAGUUGCUGAAUUUAUAUUUAUAAUUUAUUUUUAUUAUAUCACAACAAACAAUAUGAAUCCAAACAAUAUAAUGUAAACGAUAUUGUGCUUUUGUUACAUACAUAAAUGCUAGUAAAAAAUAAACAAAAGUCAUCAGAUUGAAUUGAUAAACAUGUAUGAAAUGGAAAUACUAUUAUGUAGUCUUGAAUGUUAUUAUUUACCGCAUAGGUGAAGUGGCAGUAUAUAAUUUUGAUCAAUCAGUGGAUAUAUUCACUUGUGGUCACCAGUAAAGAUUUAAGGUUAAAAUUUGGUAUUAUGAAGCAUACUAACACCUUAACCUCACAGAUUCAUAUCAAAUGGAAAUCUGCAAAGUAUUUAGGAUAA